ACAGACAUCUGGAAACUCAGCCAAGCGUGGUUCCAGGCUAUGGAAGCAUCCUCUUGUGCCUUGUCAGUGUGUGUGUGUGUGUGUGUGUGUGUGUGUGUGUGUGUGUGACCUUGAGCUCUCUUUUGAGAAUGCAUGGUGGUUGCCCCAGGGUUGUUGUAGGUACCUAGUCCUGGGGCUGGCAGAUGGGAGACAGUGGCUUAAAGGAUCCAGUGUCUUUGGGAUGAAUCAGUCCUAUCAGGAUAUAAGUCAUAGUCUCCAUGGAUUUGCAGUUGCUUGACCCAUGGUUAGUAGAGAAGACAGACUUGAGAUAGCAUCUCACAACUACCUGAUGCCUUCCACCAUGCUAUGAUGCAGAAAAACGGCCCUCAGAAGAUGCUGGGCAGAUGUUGACAGGCGCCCGCUAUCACCGGAUGGAAGGAGGAAGAUGAAGGCUGAACUGAACACAUUACUGAUGAGGCCAGGGAUGCUGGGGUACCUGGGACCAGAAACAGUGCAGCUGUCACCACCCUGGGGCCUGAAGGACUGGCAGGAUUGUCAGAGUCUGAUAAGAGAUGAACUAUGUUAGGGUAACCUCCCACAGGAGGGCGGCUUAUGGGAGUGGAGCACCAGCAUCUGUAGACUGGGGGAGGGUGGAAGGAGCUGGUGGAAUGAGUGACUUCUUGGCUUUCCUGCCCUUUGAUUUCCUUGUGGUACCUCUGGUUGACCAUCGUGGAUGGUCCAUUCCAGAGACGCUAGGUCCAGAGAGGAGCUGAGAAUGGAUGAGGCACACACAGCAUUUCCUCAUCGGCUUCUUCACUUUCGCUGUGGGAUUUCUCAGGUGAUUCCCAUUAUCUGAGCAGUUCUUUGUUGGCUUUCUCCGGUGACUGUAUGCCAAUUCCACUUUUAUUUUUAUAUGUAUUAUUAAAUACAAUACUAUACAUAUUAAAUAUGUAUACACAUAAAACUCA